AAUGUUAAUGAAGAUAUAUCUUUAAAGGUUGUAUUUGUCUUACUUAAACUAUUGUUUGUUAAUUUGACUGAAUGUGUUUAUAUUACUUUUGAAAUUUAUGUUUUUCUUUUUUCAGGACAAAAACAUGAGUGACAUGGAUCUCGACAGCUUUUUGAUACCGAAAGAUGUUAUGGUGAAUGAACCGGUUCUGUGCUCCACAGUUGUUUCUGAUUUCAAAGAGAAUUCGGUUUCAAAAACUGAAGGCAAGGGCAAAUCAAGUGUUGAUUGUGAUGUAGAUUCAACUAUGAAGGAUGACCCGAAGGCGAAAACUGUUGUUAAUGUUAAUGAAGACAUAUCUUUAAAGGUUGUAUUUGUCCUACUUAAACUAUUAUUUUUUAAUUUUACUGAAUGUGUUUAUAUUACUUUUGAAAUUUAUGUUUUGCUUUUUUCAGGACAAAAGCAUGAGUGACAUGGAUCUCGACAGCUUUUUGAUACCAAAAGAUGUUAUGGUGAAUGAACCGAUUCUGUGCUCCACAGUUGUUUCUGAUCCCAUUAUGAACAAUACAGUUGAUGUUCGUCAAUCUGUUUUGCCGCGAAAGUUGAAGGCCCAUAAGAAAUGUAACUCAGUUAUCAUUCAGUCACAUGAGUCUGUAAUUGCUCAUCGUACCCGUUCAAAGAUUGGAAACAAAAAAGAAGCUGUUGUUGAUAAGCUCACGGCCGUU